rnacentral:lncRNA from 1 species
GGCGGCUCCGCGGGGUCAAGCAUCGGAAGGCGGCGGUAAGAUCCCGCGCGUGCCGGAAGGCAUCUUCCCCAUCCCACGCGCCUACAGCUGUGCUCUUCAGGUAUUAUAAACGUGGGAUCAUUAAGGUUGGACUAGGACAAGGGGGAAUGGUCUUAAACUGGGACAGGAGAGGUUUAGGUUGGAUAUUAGUAAGAAGUUUUUCACACAGAGGGUGGUGACGCACUGAACAGGUUGCCCAAGGAGGCUGUGGAUGCCCCAUCCUUGGAGGCAUUCAAGGCCAGGCUGGAUGUGGCUCUGGGCCGCCUGGUCUGGUGGUUGGCGACCUUGCACAUAGCAGGGGGUUGGAACUCGAUGGUCAUUGUGGUCCUUUUCAACCCAGGCCAUCCUAUGAUUCUAGGAUUCUAUGAUCUAGUCCAACCACCACCGUGCUCAUGCCGCUAAGGGUCACAUCUGCACAUCCCUUGAAUUCUUCUUCUUCCUAAUAUCCAACACGAACCUCUCCUGGCACAACUUAAAGCCAUGACUUCCAACUCUGUCACUGUUACCCGGGGAAAUAGGCAGCUCCCACCUUGGUACCACCUCCUUUCAGGUGGUUGUGAAGCAAUGUGUCUCCCUGAGCCUCCUCCAGAUUAAACAACCCCAGUUCCCUCAGCCACUCCCUGUAAAAUUUGUGUUCCAGACCCUUUACAGCUUUGUUGCCGUUCUCUGGACAGGCUCCAGGGCCUCAAUGUCUUUCUUGUAGUGAGGGGCCCAAAACCAAACACAGUACUCAAGGUGUGGCAAUACCAGCGCUGAGUACAGGGGGCCCAUCAUCUCCCUGGUCCUGCUGACUACGCUAUUUCAGAUACAAGCCUGGAUGCCACUGGCCUUCUUGGCCACCUGGGCACUGUGCUGGCUCAUGUUCAGUCAGCUGUCAAUUAAUAUUUCCAGAUCCUUUUCCUCCCUGCAGCUUUCCUCUGCCCCAGGCCUGUCGUGAUGCAUGGGAUUGCUGUGACCAAGUGACCCAACACUUGGUCUUGUUAAAGGUCAUACAGUUAGACUCAGUCCGCUGAUCUAGCCCGUCUAUAUCCCCUUGUAGGGCCUUUCUACCCUCAGGCAGAAGGCAACAUUUCCUCCCAACUUGGUUUCAUCUGCAAACUUAGGGAGGGAGAACUCAAUCCUCCUUUCCAGAUCAUCAAUAAAGAUAAUGGGCUAUAGAUACUGAGGAUGUCAUCAGUCUUUUAAUGGGAGAACAUUUCCCUGCACUGAAUAUGUGCUGCCAUGUGUGGUGCUUUCACAGCAUGGCUGUGGUGCCACGUGGGCAGCAGUAGGGCUAGGCUCUUGCAGGGACAGGGCUCUGAGAGACCCACAAAGCGGUUGCUAGGAGGUGCCAGCAAGGACAGGCUCCAAAAGUUAAAUUUAUUUCAGUUGCCUUUGUGGUGGAUGCCUAGUCAUGGUUUUAGCAGAGGCAAAUCUUACCUGCAGGUGAUCUUUGCAAGAAAAUCAAGUGCAAAAAGAAGACUUCUGGUUGCUGUACUGAAGACCAGGGCUGAAUUAAAGACAUACUGUGCUGAUGCUGAAUGGAGAGUCUGGUUUAAUGACAGCAGGUACAGAUGGAGCUGAGGGACUAAAUGUUUUUGUUGCUCGAGUCUUUACUGAAAAGGACUCCAUGCCUCACUGCUUGGGAAGAGAGGCUCAAAAAGUGGGCCCAUGUGAACCUGUAAGUUUAACAAGGCCAAGAUGUUGCACUUGGGUUGGAGCAAUCCUAGAUAUGAGUGCAAACUGGGAGACGAACUCCUUGAGGGCAGCCCUGCCCGGAAGGACUUGGGGAUCCUGGUGGAUGAAGAGCUGGAUAUGAGCCAGCAGUGUGUUCUUGCAGCAAGGAAAGCCAGUGGUAUCCUGGAUUCCAUUAGAAGAGGGGUGGCCAGCAGGGAGAGGGAGGUGAUAGUCCCCCUCUACUCUGCCCUUGUGAGGCCACAUCCUGGAGUAGUGUGUUCAAGCCUGGGGUCUCCAGUACAUGAAGGAUAUGGAGCUGUUGGACUGGGUGCAGAGGAGGGCCACAAAGAUGAUCAGAAGGUUGGAGCACCUCUCCUAUGAUGAAAGAUUGAGGGAGUUGGGAUUAUUUAGCUUGGAGGAGAGAAGGCUCUGCAGAGACAUUAUUGUGAUCUUCCACUCCCUGAAAGGAGCUUACAAGCCAGACAGGGACCAAAUUUUUAUGCAGGUAGAUAGUGAUAGGACAAGGGGGAAUGGAUUUAAACUGAGAGAGGAGAAUUUUGGUUAGAUGUUAGGAAGAAAUUCUUCACGCAGAGGGUGGUGAGGCACUGGAACAGGUUGUCCAGAAACGCUGUGGAUGCCCCAUCACUAGAGGUGUUCACGGCCAGGCUUGAGGGGUUCCUGGGCAGUCUGAACUAGCGGUUGGCAACCUUGCCCACAGCAGGGGGGUGGAACUAGACGGUCUUUGAGUCCCUUCUAAUCCAAGCCAUUCUAUUAUUCUGUGAUCUCCAUACUCAAGGAAGGAAAUGCCACUAAAGGGCAGUGUUGUGGUGUCAGUGGGCACCCAGAAGGAGUCUGUGAUCAGCCCAUGGAGUCACGAUUCAAGGAACAGACAGUGAGGUUGGAAAGACAUUGGUGAAGGUAUGGAAAUGCCAGGGUGAGAGCAAGGUGGAGAAGUGAGAUGUGUGUCUACAGCCUGAAGGGAAACUGGGGCUGGUGUAGGACAGCACGGUUAAGCCUGUGGUGGUGAUGGUGAGAGUGCAGAAAAGGUUGGAAGGGAGCAACAACACCAAGGUCUUGGUCCCUUUGGCUAUAGCAGAUGUCCUACUUCCUGAGGCCCAUGAGGAGAGUGCCGUCCUAAUGGCAUAGGCACCUUCUUGUUUCUUUGCACAUUCCAGGGAAAGCAAAGAGAUACUGUAUCAUUGUCCUACACUUGGCACCAUGCACACCACAUCCCACUCUCUCAGACAGGUCCCUGGGACUGGAAUCCAGGGUUUGCCUUUCUGCUUCAUCAAACAAACCGGGGGCUUUACUCAGUGUCAUGAAUAACCACAAAGGUCCUUUGCCUGCCUGCAAUCAUGAGCCACAGUUACCUGGUUUAACAAAUCAGUAACGGCCCUCAUGGAGAACUUCUAAUUGUUCGAGACACUUUGUGUUUCCUUCAGACUACCUCAGUCUCCUCUCUGUACCUGAAGUUCACGGACUCCGUGCUAAGUACACCAUGGGGAUCCUGACAACACAGAAAGCCAAACCAACUGCUGGGUACGCAGUCUUAGACACUGUCAGUUUAGUAAGGUCAUGUAGAAAUCAGGAAGAUUAAAUACACAGCAAAACAAACACAGGGCAAUGCAAGUACAGGGGAAGACAAAUUUGCUAUUAAUACACACUCUGAAAAACUCUGGAUAGCAUGGCAAAUCACGGACAUUCUAUUAGUAGUAUUUUGUUAUUUCAGUUGAUGAAGAGGUGCUCAUAAUCUCAGUGUUUUUAGGCAGAGCGCCACUGUCCUACCAUAGGCACCCAGCACUACUUCAGUAGGCUCCAGUUACUUGUUACCUACCACUUGUUACCUAAGAAAAGAGGUGGACACCCUUCUCACUAUGAUCUUCUUUCAGGUAGUUGUACAGAACAAUGAGAUCUCCUCUCAGUUCCUUUUUCUCCAUAUUAAACAACCUCAGUUUCCCUGGCAAUUCCUACAUGUCAAUUUCUGAUGCAGGCCAGGCCAUUUUGACCUCCUGGGCACCUGACACCCCCACGUCCUUUCCUGCCAGGCACCUUUCCAGCCACUCUUCCCAAGCCCUUACAACUUCAGCUUUUUGUCCAAGUGCAGCAACCAGCACUUAAUCUUGUUGAAUGUCAUAUGAUUGGACUUGACCAACUGAUCCAACAUAUCCAGGUCCCCUGCAAUGCCUUCCUACCUUCAGGCAGAUCAAUAGGUUCACCUAAAUUGGUAUUGUCUGCAAACUUCCUCCACUGAUGUAUCUGCAUGAUGGAAUCUGCAACAUCAGUGUCUGAACUGCAGCUGAAUGCUGACCCCAGAACUGAUGAAUUCAAAGGCACACUGUAAGAUUCCAAAGCUCUGAAGGAUGGAGAUCUAUGCUGGAGAUGGACAGCAGACCACAGGGUUGCUAUGGGGAAAGGAUAUGUACUGCGGUUAUGGCAUGGAGGUGCCCCAGCCCCAUGGCAUUUCCAGGGGUAGCUCCCUCUCCCUGCUCAUGUCACUGCUGCCUGCAGACGUCCCUGUCACUAGCGCUGUGCCCACAACCCUCCCUGGUGCUCACAGAGUCCAUGACAGCUGCUGUAGACUCAGCUCUGCCUCGCAGACCCCUCCUGGCAGCAGAGCACUGCCCAAGGCUAUUUUGAUGUGUGCAGCUGCUAAGGGCCAUGUCACACAGGCCCUGGUGACACUGGACACGCAACAACAGUGCUCUCUAGGGGCAGAGGGGCAGAAAGGAAAUUGCUGGGGGAGCAUAAGGCUUAGGAUUCUCAGUGUUUUCUUGGACAUUACAGCCUCUAUUUUCAUUCCUUCUGAGGCAAAGAAAACAGAAAGGGGAGACUCAGGAAAGCCAGACUUGAAGCAGGUAACCCCUGCAUGUAUCUCUCAUCUUGCAAAGCCCCACCAAAAGGACGCUGGGGUCCUGUCUAGUAGAGACUUCCCUACUCCAUGCAGCAGCUUUUGGCACCAGAAGGCUCCCACCCAGCCUGGGGGCUCCUUACCCCCACACUUCUCCCCACACUCAGUCCCCUGGGCAGCCCCUCGGGCAGGCUGAGUGCUGAGCCUGGCAGGUGGCAGAGUCCCAUCAACUCCAUCCCAGCCAGACCAAGAACAACUGCACUUGCUCAGAGAAGGUGUGGCCAUGUGUCCUGGGUGCAGGGAGGGGAGGAAAAGACAAAAGUGGGGACUAGAAGCUGAAAGGGCACAGAGGGAAAUUCCCAGUUGUUCUAAGGGGAAAAUCAUCACCGGGACUGGGUAUCAGUGCUGGGUCACGAGGAACUGCUCAUCGACCUGAUCUCAGUGCCAAGUUGUCCCUGUUCAGGGCAUGGUUCUCCAGAGGAUCCUUCUGAUUCCAAACCCUGUCAGAGCAACACCGCUGCAUGUUGAGGCAUCGCUGGCCUCUGUAAUCCCUGCCUGGACCUCUCCUCAGGACUGCACAUUGAAUGUGUUCAUUGUCAAAGGAGAUUCUUCUUUAUGGGCUGAGGGACAUCACUGAGAAUGGGGAUACAAAAGAAAACUGUCAAGCGUGAUCUUUCUCACACUCAGGACACUUGUAGUGCUUGUCUCCUGUGGGGAUGUGCAGGUGGGAGAGCAGCGUGGAACUCCCUUGGUAGCCCUUCCCACACUCAUCACAUAUAUAGAUUUUGUCUCCUGUGUGGACGUGCUGGUGGGAGAUGAGGUCAGAAGUGCUCCCAAAGCUCUCCUCACACUCAGAGCAUUGGUAGGGUUUCUGUCCUCUGUGGGUACGCUGGUGAAUUGUGACUUGGGAACUGCUUCUGAAGGCUUUUGCACACUCAGGGCACUUGUAGCGUUUUUCUCCUGUGUGGAUGCGCUGGUGGACCAUGAGCUGAGACUUGCUUUUGAAGCCCUUGGCACACUCGGGGCACUUGUAAGGUCUUUCUCCUGUGUGGAUACGCUGGUGGAUCAUGAGUUGGUAACUAGUUUUAUAGUCUUUUGCACACUCAGAACACUUGUAAGGUCUUUCUCCUGUGUGGAUACGCUGGUGGCAUUUAAAUUCAAAACUGCUCUUGUAGCCCUUUCCACAAAUGGAACAUUUGUAGGGUCUGUCUCCUGUAUGGAUGCGCUGGUGGGUCAUGAGGUGAGAACUGGUUUUGUAGCCCUUCCCACACUCUGGGCACUUGUAGGGUCUCUCUCCUGUGUGAACGCGCUGGUGGAUCACGAGGUGGGAUCUUCUUUUGAAGCCCUUUGAACAUUCAGAGCAUUUGAACGGUCUCUCUCCGGUGUGGAUGCGCUCAUGGAUCAGGAGGUUGGAACUGCUUCUGAAGCCCUUCUCACACUCAGGGCACUUGUAGGGUCUGUCUUCUGAGUGGAUGCGCUCAUGGUAAUCGAGCUGAGAACUGCACUUGAAGCUCUUCUCACACCUGGGACACUUGAAGGGUUUGUCUCCUGUGUGGAUGCGUUGAUGGACAGCAAGGUAGGAAUGAUCCUUAAAGCUCUUCCCACACUCAUUGCAUGGGUUCUGCCCGUUCUUCUGGCUCAGCUCUUUUGCCUGCUUUUGACCUUUGCCACAGGCCGGGGUUUCUCUCACUCUCUUUCCUGGAUGGUUUCCCAGAGGCUUCUUCAUGUGCUUUCCUUGCUCCAGGCCUCCUUGGAAUUCCCUUCUGGUUUUCCCAAGAGAGAUGCCACCCCACUGACUUCUGGAUACACCGCUCUCCUGCAGAUUCUCCUUUGAAUUUGUGAUCCCAUCACCUGCUGGAUGACAGAGAAAAUCCAGAACUAGCUUAUUGUGCCCAAAAUAUGCACCAGCUGAUCCCACAGGGGCUCCUGCCAACCCCAACCUCCUCCUUUCCUCCAUCACCUCACCCGAGCAGAUGUCUCCUGCCAUGUCCUUCAGGCUGUGUACAUCUGGGAUCCAGGGAUCUUCCCCUCCUUCGAGCAGGGGGAUCACCACAGGUUUAGAUGCUUAAAUGAUAGAAAUAGUGAAGAUGAAAGCAUUUCCUUGAUUCUGGCAAAGCUGCUUACGCAGCACCUCCACUGUGUGUCCCUCCCUUCUUAUGAAACCACAACUAGGGCCUGAGUGACGUGGGGCCAACACAGACUGCCUUGCUUUGGAGUAUAGCAGGAUUUUCCAUCUCUGAAUUUCUUUUCUUCCAAAUUGCUGAAGCGAGUUUUACAAAAAGGGAGAAAGCAGAGGAAGGUAAUGCUGAGGGGAAGAUUUACAUGGAACAACCAAGGAAGGAGUAUUUAGAAGGUGCUUUUUCCCAGCUGCACUUCUUACUACUGUACUGGGCCAUCACUAAGCUGUACCAUCAAGAUAAGAGGGGUAAAGUGAUUGCAGAAGAGAUACAGAUUGCAAACAGAUCAGAAAGUGCUGAAGUAAUAAGGCAGGGAGGUAGCUUGUUGUUGGAGCUGGUGAAGACACAGUAACACAUAGGAAGCAUGUAGAGGUCUGAUCCCAGCAGUGAUUCUGGGUCUUUUUUGAGAAUGGUAACUACACUAAUGGCUUCUGAAAAUCAUGCAUGUU